rnacentral:siRNA from 1 species
UAUUUAGUGGUGUGCUCCUCCACC